rnacentral:rRNA from 1 species
GACGAACGCUGGCGGCGUGCCUAAUACAUGCAAGUCGAACGCAGUGGGGACGGGUGAGUAACACGUGGGUAACCUCCCAUCAGAGGGGAUAACACUUGGAAACAGGUGCUAAACCGAUACUGAUGGAUGGCCCCGCGGUGCAUUAGCUAGUUGGUGAGGUAACGGCUCACCAAGGCCACGAUGCAUAGACGACCUGUGAUGGGGCUCUGCCACUCCGGUACGGAGUCACGGCCCAGACUCCUCCGGGAGGCAGCAGUAGGGAAGCUGCGGCAAUGGACGAAAGUCGGAACGAUGAGCGCCGCGUGAGUGAAGAAGGUUUUCGGAUCGUAAAACUCUGUUGUUAGAGAAGCGGUAUCUAACCAGAAAGCCACGGCUAACUACGUGCCAGCAGCCGCGGUAAUUC